rnacentral:rRNA from 1 species
AUUGAACGCUGGCGGCAGGCCUAACACAUGCAAGUCGAGCGCGCGGCGGACGGGGGAGUAAUGUAUGGGGACUGCCCGAUAGAGGGGGGUAACUACUCGAAACGGUAUCUAAUACCGCAUACUAUCGGAUAACCCAUAUGGGGUUAGCUAGUGGGUGAGGUAAUGGCUCACCUAGGCGACGAUCCCUAGCUGGUCUGAGAGGAUGAUCAGCCACACUGGGACUGAGACACGGCCCAGACUCCUACGGAGGCAGCAGUGGGGAAUAUUGCACAAUGGGCGCAAGCCUGAUGCAGCCAUGCCGCGUGUAUGAAGAAGGCCCUCGGGUUGUAAAGUACUUUCAGUCGGGAGGCGUUACCCACAGAAGAAGCACCGGCUAACUCCGUGCCAGCAGCCGCGGUAAUUC